CUUUCCUAGGCCGGACUCUUCUCUCUGAAUCUGUGGACAAAAAUAUUACUGUAGCGUUUGUGCUUCUGAGCUCUGCCCUUCCUUUUUCACAGAAGCCAUUGCAUUUGUCCUCCUGGAAGACGAGAAAAUCCUCACCCUGGUUACAUUUUGAAAUUCUCUCCUUGAGCUGGGUUUGGUUCUCAUCGUGGACAGAUUUGCAACGCGAGAUGGAGUGUUCUUCAGGGCUGUCAGCAAAAUAAUAUUGCUCCUUUGUGAAAGGGAGACAGGCCAGACAAUGAGUGUGGCCUAUUUUAUCUGUCCAUGCUGGCUGCCAACUUUUUAAAAAAGCAAUUUAAAUAUUUUCCCACAGCAUAUAUGCUAAUUGAAGAAAAUGGAUAUAAUAUAGACAAGCCAAGUAAAAGGACAGAGAGGACCCCCCAGAAUUCUGCUACUUAAAGGAGUCAAUGGAACUGUGAGUAAGCCAAAUGAUUCUGCAAGAGCAAGGAACUGUACCAACAACAAUAAAGACUGAUCAUUGUGAGAGGUAACACGUAAUAACCAGGCCAAAGGGGUCCAACAGCGUGUGGUGCAAUGAUGAAUAGCUGUAGAUGCCAAGAGGUGAGCUGGCUGUUUACACUCUAUUUCUAGCCCUCUGCCACCACCUCCUACCCCCUGCUGCCAUCUCCUGGGAGAUAAAAACACAAGCCCACUCAUUAAAAGGAGAUGGCAUUAAGGCAUAAUGAAAUGCAUGAACCAAAGUAGGAAAUCUAGUGACCAGGACUUGAUGGACAGGGUAUCGGACAACUGAGACACCAGAGAGGGUAUCAGACUUUCUCCUCUUUGCCAUCUUGGGAUGACAGAGUAAAACCUUAUGGCUCUAUGUAUAUGAAAGAUUAUUAGUGGCUUUAACAUUAAGGAACCCUCCUAUCCCUACAUCUUAAUUACACCAGAGUUACACAGUUUUAUGUUCUAGCUUAGAUUAUCUGCUCUGCUUUCCCUGGCCAUGCCAUGCCUCUGUUAGAAUAGCCCAGCAUACAUUAGCUCCCAGCAAGGCAGGGAACUCAGGCCAGCUGACUUCUGCUUUUCUCUGUCUCCUUGUUAACCCACUGUCUCACCAGGGCGAAGACAGAUGUUCAUAAACCUAUUUGGCGGCUUGUACAAACCAGCUUGUCUGGGCCAUAUCUUAGGAAACACUCCCCAGCACCCCUCCGUCUAGAGGGCCCUCCUGUUUGGUUGGCCUUGAACACUACUAGCCCCAGGCUGUUGAAUUGGACGUUAUGUCUUGUCCGGUCUCCCUUAGAUGGACAGAGCUCUCCGACUCUGCUUUUGGCUUCCUUUCUGGACUUCGGUGCCAAUGCACCGCUACCUGCUCUUGACCUGUCAAGCACGCACACAGGCCGAGAGCCAGACCUGCUGCCAACCGCAGUCUCCCUGCCUCUUUGCCACCCCAGCCCUAGGGGAGCCAAGACCGGAUGCCGACACUCACCUUCACUCUCAGCUUGUCUGUUAGUGAUGGGGAGAUUUCCAAGAUCCCGUCUGGAAACCACGUUAUAUUUAGUCAUCAUGUCUCCUUGGACUACUCUUGGCUGUGACAGUGUCUUAGACUUUGACAGUUUUGAGAAGCAUUGGUCAGGUAUUUUGUAGAAUGCCCCUCAACUGGAAUUUUUCUGAUGUUUUUCUCAUGAUUAAACCGGGCUGAUGUGUUUUUAGGAGGAAGAGCACGUAAGUAAAGUAUCAUUUCAUUACAUCAUACUAGGGGUAGACGACCAACAUGAUUCAUCGCUGUUGACUUUAACCUUGGUCACCCAGAUGAGGUAGCGUUCAUCAGAUUUUUACCCUGUAAAGUUGCUCUUUUACUUCCCUUUUCCAUACCAUAUUCUUUGGAAGGAAGUCACUGUGUGCAGCCCACAUUUAAGGAGUAAGAAGUUAAGCUCUACCUCCUUUAGGGUGGAGUAUCUAAAUAUAUUAUAUGGAAAUCUCUGCAUUGAUUUGUCUAUUCCCCCCCCAACUCACACAUGUAUUUAUUUAUUCAACCAUUUAUUUAUGUCAGUAUAUGGACGGGGCAGGGCACUAACAAUGUCCACUACAUCUGACACAGACAAUGAAUUAAUGAGUGGUUGAUGAAUGAUGGCCUUAUUACAGUUGACGAUAGAAAUUGUAACAGCAAGCAUACGUCCACACAAACACUCAUACACAAAUGUUCCCAGCAGCAUUAUUCAUAAUAGCCAAAAGGUAGAACAACUCAAAUGCACAUCAACUGACAAAUAGAUAAAUAAAUUGUGAUAUAUCUAUUCAAUGGAGUAUCAUUCAGCCAUGGAAAGGAAUGAAGUACUGAUACAUACAACAACAUGGAUGAACCUUGGAAACAUGCUAAGGGAAGGAAGCCAGUCACA